rnacentral:tRNA from 1 species
CGCGGGGUGGAGCAGCCUGGUAGCUCGUCGGGCUCAUAACCCGAAGGUCGUCGGUUCAAAUCCGGCCCCCGCAC